rnacentral:rRNA from 1 species
UGGGGAAUCUUGGACAAUGGGCGCAAGCCUGAUCCAGCCAUGCCGCGUGGAUGAUGAAGGCCUUAGGGUUGUAAAAUCCUUUCGCCGAGGACGAUAAUGACGGUACUCGGAGAAGAAGCUCCGGCUAACUUCGUGCCAGCAGCCGCGGUAAUACGAAGGGGGCUAGCGUUGUUCGGAUUUACUGGGCGUAAAGCGCGUGUAGGCGGGUCGUUAAGUUGGGGGUGAAAUCCCGAGGCUCAACCUCGGAACUGCCUUCAAAACUGGCGACCUGGACCUAAGUAGAGGCAAGUGGAAUUGCGAGUGUAGAGGUGAAAUUCGUAGAUAUUCGCAGGAACACCAGUGGCGAAGGCGACUUGCUGGACUUAUGGUGACGCUGAGACGCGAAAGCGUGGGGAGCAAACAGGAUUAGAUACCCAGUAGUCCCUGAGCGGGCUGGCAAGGCGCAU